ACGGAGGGUGCAAGCGUUAUCCGGAAUCAUUGGGUUUAAAGGGUCCGUAGGCGGGCGAUUAAGUCAGAGGUGAAAUCCCACAGCUUAACUGUGGAACUGCCUUUGAUACUGGUUGUCUUGAGUUAUAGUGAAGUAGAUAGAAUGUGUAGUGUAGCGGUGAAAUGCUUAGAUAUUACACAGAAUACCGAUUGCGAAGGCAGUUUACUAACUAUUGACUGACGCUAAUGGACGAAAGCGUGGGGAGCGAACAGG
rnacentral:rRNA from 1 species